rnacentral:snRNA from 1 species
GUGCUCACUUCUGUAGCAUAUAUACUAAAAUUGGAACGAUACAGAGAAAAUUAGCAUGGCCCCUGCGCAAGGACGACACGCAAAUUCGUGAAGGGUUCCAUAUUUUU